rnacentral:rRNA from 1 species
AUACGGAGGGUCCAAGCGUUAUCCGGAAUCAUUGGGUUUAAAGGGUCCGCAGGCGGUCAAUUAAGUCAGAGGUGAAAGCCCAUCGCUCAACGAUGGAACUGCCUUUGAUACUGGUUGACUUGAGUUAUACGGAAGUAGAUAGAAUAAGUAGUGUAGCGGUGAAAUGAAUAGAUAUUACUUAGAAUACCGAUUGCGAAGGCAGUCUACUACGUAUAUACUGACGCUGAGGGACGAAAGCGUGGGGAGCGAACAGGAUUAGAAACCCUAGUAGUCC